GAUGAACGCUGGCGGCGUGCCUAAUACAUGCAAGUCGAGCGAACGGACGAGAAGCUUGCUUCUCUGAUGUUAGCGGCGGACGGGUGAGUAACACGUGGAUAACCUACCUAUAAGACUGGGAUAACUUCGGGAAACCGGAGCUAAUACCGGAUGAUAUUUUGAACCGCAUGGUUCAAAAGUGAAAGACGGUCUUGCUGUCACUUAUAGAUGGAUCCGCGCUGCAUUAGCUAGUUGGUAAGAUAACGGCUUACCAAGGCAACGAUGCAUAGCCGACCUGAGAGGGUGAUCGGCCACACUGGAACUGAGACACGGUCCAGACUCCUACGGGAGGCAGCAGUAGGGUAUCUUCCGCAAUGGGCGAAAGCCUGACGGAGCAACGCCGCGUGAGUGAUGAAGGUCUUCGGAUCGUAAAACUCUGUUAUUAGGGAAGAACAUAUGUGUAAGUAACUGUGCACAUCUUGACGGUACCUAAUCAGAAAGCCACGGCUAACUACGUG
rnacentral:rRNA from 1 species